rnacentral:rRNA from 1 species
UACGUGGGGUGCAAGCGUUGUUCGGAAUUACUGGGCGUAAAGCGCGUGUAGGCGGCGCACUAAGUUCGAUGUGAAAGCCCUGGGCUUAACCCAGGAACUGCAUUGAAAACUGGUGGGCUUGAGUCCGGGAGAGGGUCGCGGAAUUCCUGGUGUAGCGGUGAAAUGCGUAGAUAUCUGGAGGAACACCGGUGGCGAAGGCGGCAUCCUGGACCGGUAUUGACGCUGAGGCGCGAAAGCCAGGGGAGCAAACGGG